AAGGAUUUAGGUUAAGUUAAACCCUCAACCUUCAAAGCUGAAAAUAGAUUAUGUCUAAGCCUUA
rnacentral:tRNA from 1 species